CUGGACUGGUGGUGCAAGCUUCGGACAGAUGGCUGACAUCCUCAAGGGCUCUCAGCCUAAAAUGUCUCUGCUAUGGGGUUGGCUCACGAGGCUCUUAGGGACCAGCCCCGUUCGGUACCCUGUCGUGGCAGGAGCUGGUGACACCCUCAUGAUACAACAUUCACUGUGUAUGGUCCUGUGGAGCUGGGAGGAUUCAGGAGAGCAGAGUUCACAUCUGGACUGAGAAUUACUGAUGCCACCCAGAGCCCACCAGGAAACUCCACAAAUAUAUCAAGUCUUCAACCAUUCCCUACUUUUUGAUCUAAAUGGAGAAACUGAGGUUCCAGAGCAGGCAGUGGCUUAUCCAAACAUCCCCGAAGCAUACAAAUGCAGGAAGUCAGAGCCUCAGCCCAGCUGCCAGGCGUUUUCUGUGAAACUGCUCCCACCUGUGACAAUCCAGAAGCUUAAAAGGAAACUUCUUCCCCAGAGAUCAGCUCUAAGCCCAGGGGAGUCAUAAUAAAGAUGAAGA
rnacentral:lncRNA from 1 species